GGUGGUAAUGCCGGAUGCUCCAUCACACCGCAUGGUGUGUUGGGAAAGCCUUUGCGGCAUGGGAUGGGGUCGCGUCCUAUCAGCUUGAUGGCGGGGUAACGGCCCACCAUGGCUUCGACGGGUAGCCGGCCUGAGAGGGCGACCGGCCACAUUGGGACUGAGAUACGGCCCAGACUCCUACGGGAGGCAGCAGUGGGGAAUAUUGCACAAUGGGCGCAAGCCUGAUGCAGCGACGCCGCGUGAGGGAUGGAGGCCUUCGGGUUGUAAACCUCUUUUGUUAGGGAGCAAGGCACUUUGUGUUGAGUGUACCUUUCGAAUAAGCACCGGCUAACUACGUGCCAGCAGCCGCGGUAAUACGUAGGGUGCAAGCGUUAUCCGGAAUUAUUGGGCGUAAAGGGCUCGUAGGCGGUUCGUCGCGUCCGGUGUGAAAGUCCAUCGCUUAACGGUGGAUCCGCGCCGGGUACGGGCGGGCUUGAGUGCGGUAGGGGAGACUGGAAUUCCCGGUGUAACGGUGGAAUGUGUAGAUAUCGG
rnacentral:rRNA from 1 species